ACGAACGCUGGCGGCGUGCUUAACACAUGCAAGUCGAGCGACGCGCCUUCGGGUGACGGAGCGGCGAACGGGUGAGUAACACGUGGGCAACCUGCCCUCAGCUCUGGGAUAACUCCGGGAAACCGGGGCUAAUACCGGAUACGACCUCUGCCGGCAUCGGUGGGGGUGGAAAGUUCUUCGGCUGAGGAUGGGCCCGCGGCCUAUCAGCUUGUUGGUGGGGUGAAGGCCUACCAAGGCGACGACGGGUAGCCGGCCUGAGAGGGCGACCGGCCACACUGGGACUGAGACACGGCCCAGACUCCUACGGGAGGCAGCAGUGGGGAAUAUUGCGCAAUGGGCGAAAGCCUGACGCAGCGACGCCGCGUGAGGGAUGACGGCCUUCGGGUUGUAAACCUCUUUCAGCAGGGACGAAUUCAGACGGUACCUGCAGAAGAAGCACCGGCCAACUACGU
rnacentral:rRNA from 1 species